rnacentral:rRNA from 1 species
AUUGAACGCUGGCGGCAUGCCUUACACAUGCAAGUCGAACGGUAACAGGUCUUCGGAUGCUGACGAGUGGCGAACGGGUGAGUAAUACAUCGGAACGUGCCUAGUAGUGGGGGAUAACUACUCGAAAGAGUGGCUAAUACCGCAUGAGAUCUACGGAUGAAAGCAGGGGAUCGCAAGACCUUGUGCUACUAGAGCGGCCGAUGGCAGAUUAGGUAGUUGGUGGGAUAAAAGCUUACCAAGCCGACGAUCUGUAGCUGGUCUGAGGGGACGAUCAGCCACACUGGGACUGAGACACGGCCCAGAGUCAUACGGGAGGCAGCAGUGGGGAAUUUUGGACAAUGGGCGCAAGCCUGAUCCAGCAAUGCCGCGUGCAGGAUGAAGGCCUUCGGGUUGUAAACUGCUUUUGUACGGAACGAAAAGCCCCGGGUUAAUACCCUGGGGUCAUGACGGUACCGUAAGAAUAAGCACCGGCUAACUACGUGCCAGCCGCCGCCGUAA